rnacentral:rRNA from 1 species
UGGAGAAUUUUGGACAAUGGGGGAAACCCUGAUCCAGCCAUCCCGCGUGUGCGAUGAAGGCCUUCGGGUUGUAAAGCACUUUUGGCAGGAAAGAAACGUCAUGGGUUAAUACCCCGUGAAACUGACGGUACCUGCAGAAUAAGCACCGGCUAACUACGUGCCAGCAGCCGCGGUAAUACGUAGGGUGCAAGCGUUAAUCGGAAUUACUGGGCGUAAAGCGUGCGCAGGCGGUUCGGAAAGAAAGAUGUGAAAUCCCAGAGCUCAACUUUGGAACUGCAUUUUUAACUACCGGGCUAGAGUGUGUCAGAGGGAGGUGGAAUUCCGCGUGUAGCAGUGAAAUGCGUAGAUAUGCGGAGGAACACCGAUGGCGAAGGCAGCCUCCUGGGAUAACACUGACGCUCAUGCACGAAAGCGUGGGGAGCAAACAGG